rnacentral:rRNA from 1 species
CAACCUGGUGGCGAGUGGCGAACGGGUGAGUAAUAUAUCGGAAUGUACCCUAGAGUGGGGGAUAACGUAGCGAAAGUUACGCUAAUACCGCAUACGAUCCAAGGAUGAAAGUGGGGGAUUCGCAAGAACCUCAUGCUCAUGGAGCAGCCGAUAUCUGAUUAGCUAGUUGGUAGGGUAAAAGCCUACCAAGGCGACGAUCAGUAGCUGGUUUGAGAGAACGACCAGCCACACUGGAACUGAGACACGGUCCAGACUCCUACGGGAGGCAGCAGUGGGGAAUUUUGGACAAUGGGGGCAACCCUGAUCCAGCAAUGCCGCGUGAGUGAAGAAGGCCUUCGGGUUGUAAAGCUCUUUUGUCAGGGAAGAAAAGGUAGCCUCUAAUACAGGCUGCUCAUGACGGUACCUGAAGAAUAAGCACCGGCUAACUACGUGCCAGCAGCCGCGGUAAUACGUAGGGUGCAAGCGUUAAUCGGAAUUACUGGGCGUAAAGCGUGCGCAGGCGGUUAUAUAAGUCAGAUGUGAAAUCCCUGGGCUCAACCUAGGAACUGCAUUUGAGACUGUAUGGCUAGAGUGUGUCAGAGGGGGGUAGAAUUCCACGUGUAGCAGUGAAAUGCGUAGAUAUGUGGAGGAAUACCGAUGGCGAAGGCAGCCCCCUGGGAUAACACUGACGCUCAUGCACGAAAGCGUGGGGAGCAAACAGGAUUAGAUACCCUGGUAGUCCACGCCCUAAACGAUGUCUACUAGUUGUUGGGUCUUAAUUGACUUAGUCACGCAGCUAACGCGUGAAGUAGACCGCCUGGGGAGUACGGUCGCAAGAUUAAAACUCAAAGGAAUUGACGGGGACCGCACAAGCGGUGGAUGAUGUGGAUUAAUUCGAUGCAACGCGAAAACCUUACCUACCCUUGACAUGUACAGAAUGCCGAGAGAUCGCGUGCUCGCAAGAGACUGUACACAGGUGCU